GCUCAGCUAUCGCAAAGCCUACACCCCGUCCCCUCCUCUUCUUCCCCCACCUCCCUCCAUCCAUCUUCUUUCCAUCACCACUUCAAAUCUGAAGAGGAGAAAGAUGGUCCAAGUUGAUGUCACUGGAGAAAUUGCUCUUUUAUUGUCUCCUCAGACUCUAUUCUCCAUCGGAGAAAGACUCUCCAAAAAGCGACCUUCAUCAAACGCUUGCGUUUUCUGCUGAAAGAUUCCCCACAGAUUGACAACGCUAGUGCCCGAUCGUUUCGAAUUCAGGGCUUUUGUCGACGGCCGGAAAAGCCCCAAGUCCAAACUCCAGUCGGUGUUCGACCUUCAUGGCGAAGAUCCGAGCGGCCUUGUUUCCUGCCGAGGCUGCCGAAACUCGUGAUCCUCCAAUUCUGCUGCUUCCGGCCGACCCUUCUUCGCGAAUUGGUCUUUCGUCUGAUCUGACUGCGGUGAUAGCGAAGAAUAAGACAGCUUCGGAUUCCAGAUUUGUAGUGGCGGUCGGCGAUGAGGAUAGACGGAAUUGAGGGUGAUCUUGUAAUGGCAGCACCUUAGGCUUAUGGCAUUUCGUUGUGAAGUAUGGCGCUUUGGGAUUGGUUGUGCGAGCAUGAAAGAGGGAAGAUUUGGAGCGUUUGCAACUUCCUCUGAUGGUGCAUCAGAGGGAGAAUGAAGACAAGCUUCGGACUGCAUUCACCGUGAUCGCGGAUGCAGAGCAUGGGACGACUGCAGGCGUAUCAAUGCGUGACAGGGCGGCGUCAGCUUUGGCUCUUGCGUCUGGAGAUUCCAAAACCUGAAGAUUUCAACAGGCCGGGACAUGUUUUCCCAUUGAAGUACAGGGAGGGCGGUGCCCUGAAAAGAGCUGGGCAUACAGAGGCUUCUGUCGACCUUGCUGUGUUCGCUAACCUGUGGCAGUUCUCUUUGUGAGGUAGUGGGUGAUGGUGGCUCCAUGGCAAGAUUACGUAAGCUUCAUGGGUUUGCACAGCGGGAGAACUUGAAAAAUGCAUCUAUUGCUGAUCUAAUCAGAGUGACGUUGGAGGUAAUCAAGUUGUCCUUGUGAGGGUAUCCUCAGGAUGCAUCCCAGGAGACAUGUUUGGAUCUGCUAGACGCAACUGCGACCAGCUUGCACUUGCGAUGCAGCAGAUAGAAGUGGCUGGUAGGGCUGUGCUCGUCUAUCCCUGAGGGCACAAAGGAGAGGAAUAGGUUGAGGCACGUAUUACGUGCCUAUAACCUGCAGGAUGGUGGGCGUGAUUCCAUGGAAGCAAAUGUGGAACUUGGAUUGCCUGUUUACUCUCAAGAGUAUGGAAUCAGUGUUCAGGGAGUCAGAACUAUGAAGCUGAUGAGGUACCUGGGGUUCAAAGAUUAUGGCCUGAUGAUUGCUGAGACAGUCCCCCUAGUAACUCCCAUACAAAGGAGAAGAGAUACUUGGAGACAAAACGUUCAAGAUGGGGCACAUUUAUGGAGUAGAAGUCAAUGGUCGCUUCAGCAAUCUCAUCAGCAAAAAGGGGAAGCCUAGCAGUCCUGUUUCUUCUGAUCCAGCUGUGUCUGACUUAUAGGAGCUACUGGAUAGUUCUACUGCUAAUGAUUUAUCUGAGGGGAGACAAGCAAGUUCACUUACGGAUGGUGUUAUUACUUUAAGUUUAAAGCCCUAUGGUCAAGAACAUUGCGAUACCUGCUGACCAUGAGUUCUGUAAAUUUUAUUGCGAUUCAGUUUUACAAUCAUUGAUCUGUCUAUGCCAUUCAUCCAUUUUGUAAGGUAAGAAGGUGAAAGACUAACCCUCUAAUUGAAACUUCCUUUUGUGUUAUUGAUGGAUGGCAAGAAUUAUCCUUAAUUCACCUUUCCGUA